CGAAGUCUAAUAUUUAUGAUUGUUUUUAUCUGUGUCACCCUGUGUUUGACUGAUGCAGUAAACAUGAAUUAACACUAAAGUAAUUAAAGUUUUACCGUACGGAGAGGAGAGGUACAAUUUCCAUUUCUAAAUAAACUGAAAGCACAGCAAUUUUCUUCAUUAACUUCAAAGAAAACAUGCUGAUUCUUAAAAUAAAAUCUGAAAAAUAUCACAUCAUUUAUGUAUAUCGAUCAUAUUAUCACAUUACAAAAUAUCAAUAGCAUGAGUAAGCUCCAUUAGGUAUCACUCAAUUCCUGACCUAACUUUACAUUUACAAAAUACAAAAAUAUUAUAUAAGUCUUUAAUAAGUCAACGCUACAACAAAUUCUUCAGAUCGGACCUCAAUAGUAUAUAGCUGCCAUACAAACUAACCGAUUAAAAUCAAAAUAAAGACCUUUUUAUACUCUUUUAUGCUAAAAUAUGCACCUGUGAAGGGUAUUAUAUCUUAGGUUGGAAUGAAGUUAACGUUUUUUGAAGUUUUAUUGACAAAAAGUCACUGAAAAUUUGCAUUUUUUCCAUAAAAUAUGGUUACACCCUAAUACUCAAAACAGAUACGCAUUUAUGUAUGUAUUAUCCAUAUAUUUCAUGCGAGAUAAUAACAAACCCAUAAUUGGAGGAAAUUGUCUGCCAACGAUAUUUGCGGUCUAAUGUGUUCAAAAAGCAGGCGAUACGUUGACGCACUGACCAUUUGCUGUUGAUCAACAAAGCGAAAAUUAAUACACAGAAAUUACAACAAAAAUUGCUACUCAACAUACAUAAAUAACAACAGAAAAGUCGUUCAUUUAAAAAUAAUAUGUGACACGAAUAUUUGAAACGCAGCAAAGACGAAAUAAGGCGGUCGGCAUGUCGCAGCUACGACAGGAGGUAGCCGCGCACCCAUUAAAAAUUGUAAAAUUUCGGCUGCCAAGUGGGGGUGUGGAGGCGCUUGUUGAUGUCUGUCGACUAAAGAUCGGUUGGCAGCGUACGAUAUUGACAAAGAGUGCGUUUUAUUUUCGGUUUAUCUUAUUUUAACGCGUAAUUUGGGUCAAAGAACUGAAAGUCGUCGCAAGCCGUCGUAUGCACCGUACCCAUACGAGAUGUGCCCAAACUGUUCUAUCGUUAACAAAAUUGCUACCGCAAAAAGUGAAUAAAAACGAACAUUAAAUAAAAUAUAAAUAAAAACCAAAACAAAAAUAAAGGCAAAAACAAAAACAAAGGAGAAGGCAAAGGCAAAAUGCGACAGCGGCGAGCCGGUGUGAUGACAAGCAACAUGUGACUCCACCGCUUGGCUGCGACGGACUCAAGUGGGGGCCAAUAAUUGUUUUACAAUAUGAAAACGAAAAUACUGGUACUGCAUAUGUGCAUACAUACAAACAUAUGUACAUAUGUGUGUCUAUAUACAUACAAAGUGAAUUGCUUGUAUGGUAGUGCGAGUGGGUGUGUUUGCAAUGACACUGCGGAGAAGCUGGCCAUACAAAUUAAAACGUAUAUAAAUAUGUAGCAUAUAUAGUAUAUAAUAUAUAGUAUAUGAAUAUCGAGUGUGCACAUUUAGUUGCAGAUGAAUGUGUGUCUAUCUAGAUUUGAAAGCUGUCCGUCUGCCCAGUGUACUUGCAUGUGACUUGUUGGUUGUUGGCUUGAAUUUUGUGCGUUCAUAUUAGUAUAAGUAGCUACCGUUAGAGACAUACUCGCACAUAUUUUGGUUUACACCGGCAUUUUCAAUAAAUAAUAUGUAUAAUAAAGAAAAUAUAUCUAAAAUGAGUUAUUCACAUCUACUAUUGCAUAGUUUUCACACAUACAUAUUUAUGUCCAUAUUUUCAUUCAUUUGUAGAAAGAGUUCCUUCAAAAAAGUAAGUAGUUAUUUGACUGGUUUUAGAUUAGCAUCCCCCGAUUUCGGCUUUAAAAUGGAUACAUAUGUAUGUAUAAAUGAGGAGGUCCUCCAGAUUAAGAGAAUAUACUAUAAUAUAUAUACAUACGUACUAUAUAUAGUUGCCGCUGACUUACGAUUUUGGAGAUAUUUGUAUUUAAAGUUAAACGCAUAAAGCAGUUCUACGUAAAAGAACAGAAAAAACCUCGGUGUUGGUCCUGCGCCAGCGCAAAUGGAAGCUCUACGUAAAAGAACCGAAUACAAACCGAUUGGGACUGGAAGGCCGCCAACGCAAAAAGAAGUUAUACGCGAAAGAUCCGAAUAUGGCCCGGUGUUGGACCGACCAAGGUUAUUUUUUGAAAAAAAAUUUUACGCAAAAAACUGAAAACAUCCCGGUUUUGGUAAAAAGGGGGUAAUUUUUUGAAAAGAAACGCCCCGGUCAUGUGCCGACUAGGGUUAUUUUUUGAAAACAAAUUCUACGAAAAAACUGAAUACAUCCCAUCCCGGUUUUGGUAAAAGGUGGGUUAUUUUUUGAAAAGAAACGCCCCGGUCAUGUGCCGACUAGGGUUAUUUUUUGAAAACAAAUUCUACGCAAAAAACUGAAUACAUCCCAUCCCGGUUUUGGUAAAAGGUGGGUUAUUUUUUGAAAAGAAACGCCCCGGGAAUGUGUCGUCUAGGGUUAUUUUUUGAAAACAAAUUCUACGCAAAAAAAUGAAUACAUACAUCCCGGUUUUGGUUCAAGCUGGGUUAUUUUUGGAAAAUAAGUUCUACGCAAAAGAACUGAAAACACCUCGGUGUUGGUCCGACUAGAGUUAUGUUUUUGAUGCUCUACGCGAAAGAACCGAAUACACCCCGGUUUGGACCGGAGAGUGUUAUUUUUGUGAAAGGUGGCCGACGGCCGCCAACGCAAAAGAAAGUUCUAUGCGAAAGAUCCGAAUAUAGCCCGAUGUUGGACCGACCAAGGUUAUUUUUUGAAAAGAAACCCCCGGUCAUGUGCCGACUAGGGUUAUUUUUUGAAAACAAAUUCUACGCAAAAAACUGAAUACAUCCCGGUUUUGGUAAAAAGUGGGUAAUUUUUUGAAAAGAAACGCCCCGGUCAUGUGCCGACUAGGGUUAUUUUUUGAAAACAAAUUCUACGCAAAAAACUGAAUACAUCCCGGUUUUGGUAAAAGGUGGGUUAUUUUUUUGAAAAGAAACGCCCCGGUCAUGUGCCGACUAGGGUUAUUUUUUGAAAACAAAUUCUACGCAAAAAACUGAAUACAUCCCGGUUUUGGUAAAAGGUGGGUUAUUUUUUGAAAAGAAACGCCCCGGUCCUGUGCCGACUAGGGUUAUUUUUUGAAAACAAAUUCUACGCAAAAAACUGAAUACAUACCAUCCCGGUUUUGGUAAAAGGUGGGUUAUUUUUUGAAAAGAAACGCCCCGGGAAUGUGUCGUCUAGGGUUAUUUUUUGAAAACAAAUUCUACGCAAAAAACUGAAUACAUACCAUCCCGGUUUUGGUUCAAGCUGGGUUAUUUUUGGAAAAUAAGUUCUACGCAAAAGAACUGAAAACACCUCGGUGUUGUUCCGACUAGAGUUAUGUUUUGAUGCUCUACGCGAAAGAACCGAAUACACCCCGGUUUGGACCGGACAGUGUUAUUUUUGUGAAAGGCGGCCGACGACCGCAAAAUCAAAAGAGAGUUCUACGCGAAAGAUCCGAAUAUAGCCUGAUGUUGGACCGACCAAGGUUAUUUUUUGAAAAGAAACCCCCGGUCAUGUGCCGAAUAGGGUUAUUUUUUGAAAACAAAUUCUACGCAAAAAACUGAAUACAUCCCGGUUUUGGUAAAAGCUGGGCUAUUUUUUGAAAACAAAUUCUACGCAAAAAACUGAAUACAUCCCGGUUUUGGUAAAAGGUGGGUUAUUUUUUGAAAAGAAACGCCCCGGUCAUGUGCCGACUAGGGUUAUUUUUUGAAAACAAAUUCUACGCAAAAAACUGAAUACAUCCCGGUUUUGGUAAAAGGUGGGUUAUUUUUUGAAAAGAAACGCCCCGGUCAUGUGCCGACUAGGGUUAUUUUUUGAAAACAAAUUCUACGCAAAAAACUGAAUACAUCCCGGUUUUGGUAAAAGCUGGGUUAUUUUUUGAAAAUAAGUUCUACGUAAAAGAACUGAAAACACCUCGUUGCCGAAAGCCGCAAACGCCAAAGCAGACUCUACGUGAAAAAACCGAAUACAAGCCGGUUUGGACCGGGCAAUGUUAUUUUUGUGAAAUGUGGCCGAAGGCACGGUGUUGGACCGAACAAGGUUAUUUUUGGAAA